UACGUAGGGGGCAAGCGUUGUCCGGAAUCAUUGGGCGUAAAGAGCGUGUAGGCGGCUUGGUAAGUCCGCUGUGAAAGUCCAGGGCUCAACCCUGGAAUGCCGGUGGAAACUGUCAAGCUUGAGUCCGGAAGAGGCGAGUGGAAUUCCUGGUGUAGCGGUGAAAUGCGCAGAUAUCAGGAGGAACACCAAUGGCGAAGGCGAUCACCUGGGGUUGUUCUGACGCUGAGGAGCGAAAGCUAGGGGAGCAAACGGG
rnacentral:rRNA from 1 species